rnacentral:rRNA from 1 species
GAUGAACGCUGGCGGCGUGCCUAAUACAUGCAAGUCGAGCGAACAGAUGAGGAGCUUGCUCCUCUGCCGUUAGCGGCGGACGGGUGAGUAACACGUGGAUAACCUACCUAUAAGACUGGGAUAACUUCGGGAAACCGGUGCUAAUACUGGAUAAUAUAUUUAACCGCAUGAUUCAAUAGUGAAAGACGGUUUUGCUGUCACUUAUAGAUGGUUCCGCGUCGCAUUAGCUAGUUGGUAAGGUAACGGCUUACCAAGGCAACGAUGCGUAGCCGACCUGAGAGGGUGAUCAGCCACACUGGAACUGAGACACGGUCCAGACUCCUACGGGAGGCAGCAGUAGGGAAUAUUGCGCAAUGGGCGAAAGCCUGACGGAGCAACGCCGCGUGAGUGAUGAAGGUCUUCGGAUCGUAAAACUCUGUUAUUAGGGAAGAAAAGAUGUGGAAGUAAAUAUGGACGUCUUGACGGUACCUAAUCAGAAAGCAACGGCUAACUACGUG